UACGGGGGGGGCAAGCGUUGUUCGGAAUUACUGGGCGUAAAGGGCUCGUAGGUGGCCAACUAAGUCAGACGUGAAAUCCCUCGGCUUAACCGGGGAACUGCGUCUGAUACUGGAUGGCUAGAGUUUGGGAGAGGGAUGCGGAAUUCCAGGUGUAGCGGUGAAAUGCGUAGAUAUCAAGAGGAACACCUGCGGCGAAGGCGGGUUGCUGGGCCGACACUGACGCUGAGGCGCGAAAGCCAGGGGAGCGAACGGG
rnacentral:rRNA from 1 species